rnacentral:rRNA from 1 species
GAUGAACGCUGGCGGCGUGCCUAAUACAUGCAAGUCGAGCGAACGGACGAGAAGCUUGCUUCUCUGAUGUUAGCGGCGGACGGGUGAGUAACACGUGGAUAACCUACCUAUAAGACUGGGAUAAAUUCGGGAAACCGGAGCUAAUACCGGAUAAUAUUUUGAACCGCAUGGUUCAAAAGUGAAAGACGGUCUUGCUGUCACUUAUAGAUGGAUCCGCGCUGCAUUAGCUAGUUGGUAAGGUAACGGCUUACCAAGGCAACGAUGCAUAGCCGACCUGAGAGGGUGAUCGGCCACACUGGAACUGAGACACGGUCCAGACUCCUACGGGAGGCAGCAGUAGGGAAUCUUCCGCAAUGGGCGAAAGCCUGACGGAGCAACGCCGCGUGAGUGAUGAAGGUCUUCGGAUCGUAAAACUCUGUUAUUAGGGAAGAACAUAUGUGUAAGAAACUGGGCACAUCUUGACGGUACCUAAUCAGAAAGCCACGGCUAACUACGUG